rnacentral:rRNA from 1 species
UACGUAGGGUGCGAGCGUUGUCCGGAAUUAUUGGGCGUAAAGAGCUUGUAGGCGGUUUGUCGCGUCUGCCGUGAAAUUUCGAGGCUCAACCUCGAACUUGCGGUGGGUACGGGCAGACUAGAGUGUGGUAGGGGAGACUGGAAUUCCUGGUGUAGCGGUGGAAUGCGCAGAUAUCAGGAGGAACACCGGUGGCGAAGGCGGUUCUCUGGGCCUUACCUGACGCUGAGGAGCGAAAGCGUGGGGAGCAAACAGG